CCGACGGAUGCUACUUCGGAGAGAUCUGCCUGCUGACGCGCGGGCGGCGCACGGCAAGCGUGCGCGCGGACACCUACUGCCGCCUCUUCUCGCUCUCCAGCGAGCACUUCGCCGCCGUGCUCGAGGAGCACCCCGUGAUGCGCCGCGCGCUCGAGAGCGUCGCCAUCGACCGACUCAACCGCAUCGGCAAGAAGAACUCGAUCCUGCUGCACAAGGUGGAGCAUGACAUGAGCACCGGGCUGUGCGGCGCCCACGAGCGCGAGAUGAUCCGCACCAUGGUACGCCGCGACCGCGAGAUGAUGCUGGGCGCCAACGUCGCCAACGCCUCGUUCACCUCCUC